rnacentral:lncRNA from 1 species
UGAAAUUCCUCUCUCCCUCUGUAAUCUUCUCUUCUCCCACUUCUUCCAGUUCCUAAUACCUAUGUGACUUGCUCUUUAGCCUCAUGAAAGCUUCAAGUCAGCAGCCUCCUCUUCACCUGGAAUUCCAUUGCUCCUUUUUCCGGAAGCGCUGCUCAAGAAUCACCUUCUGCAUGAAAGGGCUUCCUGCAGUGUUAGCACAUGAUUUCACAGAUUUAAGAGUGGAGGCCCCAGCCUGGGCCGGAAGACUCAGGCACUUUGGCAACUGCACCACCUCCUCAACUCCUACUGUCAUCAUAGUACCUUCAUCCAGUAACUGAUGGAAGCAAAUGCAAAGAUCCUCAUCCAAGCACCAGGCUAAGCUACAGCUGUCCAGUCGAAGAGAAAGAAGGAUUAUAUGAGCAAAGAGGGUCAAGAUCAUGAUGGGGAAACUCACAGAGACAGUGGACCUGAACUUGCUGGAGCUCACGGACUCAUUGAACUAUAUACUGAAUGCAGAGACUGAUUUGUGGAAAGUUGGUGUCAUGAUAUUAUUGAAUCAUGUGAAUAACGUGAGCAUCAUGUGGCUGGGCCCAAUCCCAGGAUGCAUUAUUUAGAUUCUAUCCCUGAUGACAUCCAAUAAACCAAUCUUAAGGAAAGG